UACGUAGGGGGCAAGCGUUGUCCGGAAUCAUUGGGCGUAAAGCGCGUGUAGGCGGCUCGGUAAGUCUGCUGUGAAAGUCCAGGGCUCAACCCUGGGAUGCCGGUGGAUACUGUCGGGCUCGAGUCCGGAAGAGGCGAGUGGAAUUCCUGGUGUAGCGGUGAAAUGCGCAGAUAUCAGGAGGAACACCUAUUGCGAAGGCAGCUCGCUGGGACGUUACUGACGCUGAGACGCGAAAGCGUGGGGAGCAAACAGG
rnacentral:rRNA from 1 species